rnacentral:rRNA from 1 species
UACGGGGGGGGCAAGCGUUGUUCGGAAUUACUGGGCGUAAAGGGCUCGUAGGCGGCCAACUAAGUCAGACGUGAAAUCCCUCGGCUUAACCGGGGAACUGCGUCUGAUACUGGAUGGCUUGAGGUUGGGAGAGGGAUGCGGAAUUCCAGGUGUAGCGGUGAAAUGCGUAGAUAUCUGGAGGAACACCGGUGGCGAAGGCGGCGACCUGGGUCGAGACUGACGCUGAGGCGCGAAAGCGUGGGGAGCAAACAGG